CAUUGCAGGUAUGUGCUAACAGCGUAGAUAUAUGCUCACAGUGCAUGUAUGUGCUCUCAGUGCAGGUAUGUGCUCACUGCAGGUAUGUGCUCACAGUGCAGGUAUGUGCUCACUGCAGGUAUGUGCUCACAGUGCAGGUAUGUGCUCACAGCGUAGAUAUAUGCUCACAGUGCAUGUAUGUGCUCUCAGUGCAGGUAUGUGCUCACUGCAGGUAUGUGCUCUCAGUGCAGGUAUGUGCUCACUGCGUAGAUAUGUGCUCACAGUGCAGGUAUGCGCUCUCAGUGCAGGUAUGUGCUCACAGUGCAGGUAUGUGCUCACAGUGCAGGUAUGUGCUUACUGCAGAUAUGUGCUCACAGUGCAGGUAUGUGCUCACAGUGUAGAUAUGUGCUCACAGUGCAUGUAUGUGCUCUCAGUGCAGGUAUGUGCUCACAGCAUAGAUAUGUGCUCACAGUGCAGGUAUGUGCUUUCAGUGCAGGUAUGUGCUCAC